CCUACGGGUGGCAGCAGUGGGGAAUAUUGCACAAUGGGGGGAACCCUGAUGCAGCGACGCCGCGUGAGUGAAGAAGUAUUUCGGUAUGUAAAGCUCUAUCAGCAGGGAAGAAAGUGACGGUGCGUGACUGAGCAGCCACGGCUAACUACGUGCCAGCAGCCGCGGUAAUACGUAGGGGGCAAGCGUUAUCCGGAUUUAAGGGGGGUAAAGUGAGCGGAGACGGUUAUGCAAGUCUGAAGUGAAAGCCCAAGGCUCAACCAAGGGAGUGCUUUGGAAACUGUAAAACUUGAGUGCAGGAGAGGUAAGCGGAACUCCUAGUGUAGCGGUGAAAUGCGUAGAUAUUAGGAGGAACACCAGUGGCGAAGGCGGCUGACUGGACUGUAACUGACGUUGAGGCUCGAAGGCGUGGGGAGCAAACAGGAUUAGAUACCCGUGUAGUC
rnacentral:rRNA from 1 species